AUCGCACGUUCUUUUCACAACUCAAUAAACAAGCUUAGCAUCAAACAAGAAAGCUAAAACCACACAAAUAUACAAUUUAAUAUUAUUGUUUAGGAAGGAUCAGAAACAAUGAGUCAAUCACCACCUUGCGAAUCCAAUAAAUUGGAUGCAACUUAAGACUGGGGCGACAAUCACUGUCAUCACUUUCCAUUUCCAACACAAAAAAACAACAAAAUAAGCACAACAAACAAGGGUAGAUAAAUUUAAUAAUGAUGUUUAAUAAUAAACUACAAGAUGCUGCUGAUAAAUAAUAUAUAUUAGCAUUGCAGAGAUUUUUCAUGCCACAAAAUACAAUCUCCUUUAACAGAAGACAUGUAAG
rnacentral:misc_RNA from 1 species